rnacentral:tRNA from 1 species
CUAUGUUUUAGUCGACGCGAUUUGCGUUGUCAGCGGCAGCGCCGCGAUCCGUUCAAGCCGGAUAAAUACCGGC